rnacentral:lncRNA from 1 species
AACAAAUCAAUUCAAGAGAAGAAAGAGCGAAGUCCUACUUUAGCAAGGCAACCAUGAAUAAGAAAAGUACUCUCUCACAGUCUACAAUGAAAAAAAAAUGAAUCAUCACCAUUCUAUAGAAGACUAACUUUUAUGAAGAAGUAGCAAACCUCAUGAUUAAGUUGGAAAAAAGGAGAAGUCAUGAGUUUUGAACCAACAACAGGAACCAACAAACAAAAUUAUAAAUUUAAAGUUAUGUGCAAGUUGUUACAGCUAAGGAAGGAGGAGGAACCAAUUGUGUUAUAGAGACAACUCACAAUGGAUUUCCUUGGCCUCCAAGUCUCUCAUGUUUAGGAGUAAUGAAUCUCCUUGGCCCCCAACAUAAGGUGCAACAAUCAUCUUCAAGAUAGUUUAUAUAAGAACAUUGAAGUGCAGCUGAAGUUCUUUGCUAGGAAGGAAAACAACUAAGAGUACAUAGGUCAAAAGCCUCAUCAACUUUAGAUACUAGACUUCCUUAGCCUAACUCUCUUGAUUUGUAUAGCCAAAUCUAUUUAGCCAUAGAUAGUCUGUAA